UCCCUGAGAGCUCAGUUGGUAAAGAAUCUGCCUGCAAUGCAGAAGACCGCAGUUUGAUUUCUGGGUCAGGAAG
rfam:Ovis aries breed Texel chromosome 1, whole genome shotgun sequence.